GUGAGGAAUAUUGGGCAAUGGGCGGGAGCCUGAUCCAGCCAUGCCGCGUGCAGGAAGACUGCCCUAUGGGUUGUAAACUGCUUUUGUACAGGAAGAAACACUCCCUCGUGAGGGAGCUUGACGGUACUGUAAGAAUAAGGAUCGGCUAACUCCGUGCCAGCAGCCGCGGUAAUACGGAGGAUCCAAGCGUUAUCCGGAAUCAUUGGGUUUAAAGGGUCCGUAGGUGGAUGAUUAAGUCAGAGGUGAAAUCCUGCAGCUCAACUGUAGAAUUGCCUUUGAUACUGGUUGUCUUGAAUUAUUGUGAAGUAGUUAGAAUAUGUGGUGUAGCGGUGAAAUGCAUAGAUAUCACAUAGAAUACCGAUUGCGAAGGCAGAUUACUAACAAUACAUUGACACUGAUGGACGAAAGCGUGGGGAGCGAACAGGGAUUAGAUACCCUGGUAGUCCACGCCGUAAACGAUGGAUACUAGCUGUUCGGAUUUAUCUGAGUGGCUAAGCGAAAGUGAUAAGUAUCCCACCUGGGGAGUACGUUCGCAAGAAUG
rnacentral:rRNA from 1 species